UACGUAGGGGGCAAGCGUUGCCCGGAUUUAUUGGGCGUAAAGAGCGUGUAGGCGGCCAUGUAGGUCCGUUGUGAAAACUCGAGGCUCAACCUCGAGACGCCGAUGGAAACCAUGUGGCUAGAGUCCGGAAGAGGAGAGUGGAAUUCCUGGUGUAGCGGUGAAAUGCGCAGAUAUCAGGAAGAACACCCGUGGCUAAGGCGGCUCUCUAGUACGGUACUGACGCUGAGACGCGAAAGCGUGGGGAGCAAACAGG
rnacentral:rRNA from 1 species